rnacentral:rRNA from 1 species
AGCGUAUGUUAAAGUUGUUGCGGCUAAAAAGCUCGUAGUUGGAUUUCUGUUGAGGACGGCUGGUCCGCUCUAUGAGCGUGCAUCUAGUUUGGCCUCGGCAUCCGCUCUGCAUACGUUCUGCGCUUGAUUGCGUGGUUCGGAGGUAGGGCCUUUUACUUUGAGGAAAUUAGAGUGUUCACGGCAGGCAAUCGCCUUGAAUAUAUUAGCAUGGAAUAAUAACAUAGGAUCUUGGUUCUAUUUUGUUGGUUUCUAGAGCUGAGAUAAUGAUUAAUAGGGACAAUUGGGGGCAUUCGUAUUGCGGUGUCAGAGGUGGAAUUCUUGGAUUACUGCACGACGAACUACUGCGAAAGCAUUUGCCAAGGAUGUUUUCAUUGAUCAAGAACGAAAGUAAGGGGAUCGAAGACGAUUAGAUACCGUCGUAGUCUUUACCAUAAACUAUGCCAACUAGAGAUGGGGUGUCGUUCUUAUAUGACUCGCUCCGCACCUUAUGAGAAAUCAAAGUUUUUGGGUUCCGGGGGGAGUAUGGUCGCAAGGCUGAAACUUAAAGG